rnacentral:lncRNA from 10 species
GCAUGAUCCACGGAGAGGAAAGAAAAGCAGUGUGGUGCUGUGGAUAGAACAAAAAGGUGAAGGAAAGGCAAACUCUCCUUGUUUCAGGUUAGAGUGUUACCAAUGGAGGGUCUUGACAAGUUAUUCAAGUUCUUGGCAUUUUGAACAAAGAAUUGGAAAAAGCACACGAACAAAGCAACAAAAGAAUGAAGCAGCAAAAGCACAGAUUUAUUGAAAUGAGGUGAUCAAUCAAAGGCUGAAGUGAAGUUACAAAGUUACACCCUAAGCACGUGAAGACUGGUUGCAGGAGGGGACCAAACGGAGGUACUUUUCAUUUUUCAUCUGUGAGGCAGUGGAAAAGGGUGUUGUGGGGUGGGGUUGCAAAGGGAGUAGCCCCUGAUCCUUUUGUUACUUGGGUGUGAAGAGGUGGGGUUUUCCUUUUGACUCAGUUCUAGGAAGUCAGCGCAAAUUGGCCUUAAGUUCCCUGUCUCCAGACGCUAUUCUAUGCCUCAGGAGUACAGUGGCACAAUCAUGGCUCACUGCAGCGGUCUAAACUCUGCUAAGGCAGAGAAUUACUUGAACCCUGGAGGCGGAGGUUGCAGUGAGUCAAGACCGCACACCACUGCACUCCAGCCUGGAUGACAG